UAUAUUAUAAAGCCUGUUGCGUAAAUCCCUUUAGAAUGACUACUUCACCCACACUAUAACUCAUCUAAUUACAAAUACGCCACUGAAGUAUACGUUCAAUCGUUCCAAACCGUUGAUUACUCGCACGUGUCGCUCAUCGGUCUUUCCGUAUCUGUAUCAGCUCAAAUCAAGUUUCUACUCUAAACAUCUACUUUCAAAAAAUCAGACUCAUCGGCUCAUCUGUUUUAGGGUAAAGCUUCAUCUCCUUCAAAUUUUGUUCGAUUUACAUUGCAACUGCGGCAGAUUCGUAAUUGAUGGAUUCUUUGGAACGGAGUAAUCUUCAUUCGCCGGCUCCGGAGUUGAAACGGAGUACUCUCAAAUCGUCGCCUCCACAGUUGGGUAUGCAAUACCCUUUGGACUGAAUUCUAAAUAUGCUCAUCCAGAUGAGAUACUGUUUCUUGGUUUUGCUACUAUUACUGGUCCUGCCAUCACUGGACCCCAUUUGAUCACUCUGUGGUUGUGGAUGUAGUGAGAGUCCUCGAAACUGCUGAAGCACAUUGUGGUUACCAUUUCUCCUGGAGCAUUUCAAACUUCUUGCCCUUAUAUGGGGGAGCUGAUUUCCAUGACUAUCAUCACCGUCAGCUCUAUACCAAGUCUGGCAACUAUUCAUCUACUUUUGUUUACAUGGAGUGAAAAGUAGCGUUCUGCAAGAUAAUAAGAUGCCAAUAAGAUCCGGGACUGAAUGAGUGGAGUUCUGGCAAUGAAUCUGACUACCAUGUCAUUUUCACUUGAUGAAAUCAAGAAAGCAAGGCCAAGCUUGGAGUGAAUCCCCUGUUAUGAUCAAUGUGCUGCUAUUUAUCAGUCAUUCUACAUUUAUGAAGGGAGAUUAAACCAGCUUUGAGAUUUAACCUUCAUUUGGUGGGGAGACUUUAGCACUUUAUCCUAUGUCAAAUACACAACUAUGGACGAGUAUCUCAAUAAAUUUGUCUAAACCAAAUCUAUUUUGUCUACUAAAUGAAGCAUAAUACUACCUUUGUACUGAACUUAUAUAGUUUUUCUACCUGUGAUAUGUCGAGUACUUCAUUGGUUUGGGUUCGUUUCUUGCGACUGUUUAACACUGCAGAGCUUUAGAGUAUGCCCUUUUGUUAAAUAAAAUUAUGAUUAUGGGAUUAUCUUUCCGCCAAUGCUUAGUACUAUGUAUUUGAUUGUUGUGGUGAGCUCCUACAUGCAGCAUGAUGUAUGAAGUUCUUAUUCAUGAUAUUAUUGCACUUAUUUCUCUUUUUAUUUGGGUCAUAUAAGCUUUGUU